AAUGUGUUACAGGCGUUGCUGUCCUUUUUUUGGAGUAGAGCCGUGUGUUGACCGUGUAUUACAUGGGUAUAGGUAGUAAAAACUGGACAAAGGCUGACCUUUAAGUAUGGAUUGGUAAGGCAACAGUAGCUUUCUAUCCAAGAGUCUGUAGAUCCUCAGGUCUAGCACCCUCAGGAUCUUCAAUACCACUGAAGACUGUUGGGCUGUAUUCAACUGUCAGAAGAACAACUGGAACCACUAAAAGAAUCAUGUUGGUCAUUUACCAACACUGCCACUGUGAUAAUAAAUAAGACACUGAGAUGGACGAUACUCAGCCAGAACUGACCAGCGAGCCAUAGGAAUGGACACUAAGAUAUCAGAGGACAUGCAGGGAUGUGCAUCCUCCACUGCCUGUUGAGUGUGUCGAUAAUAAAGAGGGCAAGCCUGGACAAGUUAUCUAUGAUGACAAAGACUUCCCCAUGAGACAAGGUGCAGAGCCAUGGGGAGACGUGAGCAAGGAUGACUCUGCCAACCAUAUCGAAAAUCAAAGUAGCCUAAAAUUGUCAGGGAGAGCAGAUGAAAAUUAGUCUGGUGCAUUAUAUAUGUUCUAUAUAAGGCCAUGUUGAUUAACAUGGUUCUUUUUUAAAUAAAUAAAACAUAAUAAAACUGC